rfam:Helianthus annuus linkage group 16, whole genome shotgun sequence.
AGGAGCCGUAUGAGAUGAAAAUCUCAUGUACGGUUCUGUGGAGUGGUAGUAAGGUUGACUUAUCUGUCAAGUUUUCCACUAUCACCCCCAAAAAACCAAACUCUACAUUAUGUACAGUUCGCAGAGUACUAUUAACCUCUGGAUUUGAAAUCACUGCUAUUAUAU